rnacentral:lncRNA from 1 species
AAACUGAGGAACAUAAAUAGUCCUAUCUAAAUUUUACUGAUUUUUGCUUCUGCCUACUUAUACAAGACUUCUAGCUCCUUACAAAUCCCCUCUUCCCAUCUUUUUCUUCUCUAUCCUCUGUCUAUUCUUUCUCAGAAUGUCCAGAUACAACUUGUGAACGCACACAGCUUAUGUUGUGUACUUCUGUGGGGCACUUCUACUUCUGUGCUUUUACCUGGCACUAGUUUCCCACUGGGUACUGCUGUUAGUCUGUUAGGUAGUGUAUUCUACCAUUUGUGUGUGGUGGGGUGGUACUUGGAUUCUACUGACUCUUUGGGCCGCAUCAUUGCUCUUGCUCUCAGGAGAAACGGCGGUCUCCUGCUGGGUGCUGCCAUUGUUCCUUUGGACGCUAUUGCUGCUCCUCUAGAUGCAUCUCCUCUGAUAAUUCAAAGCACUUUUGGUGGAGCAGAUAAGCAGUGUUCUGUGGCAGAGACAGACCCCUCUUUCAUUUUGUCCUAUGUGGUGAGAGGAGUUCCAGAAUAAUCUGAUGCUCUCCCAAAGUGAUGGAGCUUUUUAUUGAAAUGGCAUUUUGCAACUUAUAUACACAGUAAUCUCUCUUCUUAGAGCUCUGACAUGUACCUGUGAGGGUGGGCCAAGGACAGAUUUGAGUGGUAGUCAUUUGCUAAAUGUGGAGUCACUUCUCCCUUCAGAUCACUAAGAUUUUGUUGCAAGGUCAAGUUUUUUGUCUUUUCCCAUCUGUUUUUCUCUUCCUGUAGGAUGAGUUUCCUCCCAGAAGCUUCUUGAUUUCCUAAGCCCAUCCCACCAGAUUUAUUAGUUUUUUUCCCCUCUUCCUUUCUUCCUCCCUCUCUCCAUCCCUUCCUCCCUCCACAUAUGUGGCAUAGGGAAAUUCCCAGGCCAGGGGUCGAAUUGGAGCUGCAGCUGCUGACCUGCAGCCACAGGCAUGCAGGAUCCAAACCGCAUCUCGGCCCUACACCACAACUCACAGCAAUGCCAGAUUCUUACCCCACUGAGCGAGGCCAGGGAUCAAACCUGAGUCCUCAUUGAUAUUAGUCAGGUUUGCUACUGCUGAGCCACAUGGGAACUCCAGUUUAAGAGCUUCUUAACCACAGCAGUGGCAAUAGUUGAGGCUCAAGCUUGGCUCACCUUUACAGAGAAGCCCUUGAUUUUGUAGUACCCAGUGUACCCUCUUCAAGAUAGAGUAAUCAGCAGUGGUGCAGUGAAUAGAAUCCCAUUUUCUUUUUUUUUUUUUAAGUAGCUUAAGGUGAUGAAUGAACCAAUAGGAGCUAUCAAACUUUGUUUUAAAAAAUAUAUAUUUCAAGCUUUUAAAAAAGAUUGUUGAAUAAAAAGAAUAACCCAUCAGUACCCAAAGCCCCAACUACUACCUCUUUUCUCUUUUGAAUUUGUGCUAUACAUCAUUAUUAUUUCCUUCAUAAAUUCUGUCAGCAUAUUAGUAAGAGAAUGUGGCCAAAAGAAAUAGCUUUUUAUCAAUAUUAAGCAGCUUUGCAAAGUCACAGUUCCAUUUGGAUAUAUUUGCAAAAUGCCCGGCUGCAGAGAAAACUCACUCCAUGACUGAGAUCAAAAUCUUUUUGUCACCAGUGAUUGAGUGUCAGUAAUGAUCGAAUUUAAAGAGCAUGCAUUAGAGAAUUUCUAGUGGUUUCACAAGAGGUUAUUUCAGUAAUAUUCGCAGCCUUAACAUUUUUUAUGAGAAGGUUUGAGAGCUUAGGGUCGGAUUUGGGUGAUUUAGCUAACGCUCAUCAAUUGAGCCUACAACAAUAUUGCUAAACUAAAGCUAAGGUAAUGAAGUAGAAGAUUUUUUCAUUGCAACCCAGCCAAUUUCCAAAGUUUAAAAAUAGGAAAGAAAGACAGUUUUAUCAGGUAAUAUGCAAAAUAAAAGUCAAAUUCAAAGCUUACUAAUUAAAAAUACAGGCUUUUCAGCUGUGCACACAAUUCAGAUAAAAUGCUAAAAUCAUUCCUUGUAUAUAAAGGAAGACACAUUUUGCUCUGUAUAAACAUUUAUAAUUCACUUUCUAUGUGUUAGGUACUGUUAGAUGUUUACAUUACCUUAUUUGCAGAUGUCUAUGAUCCUAAAGCCACUUCCCUAAGCACUACUCAGUACUUAUAUACAGAUUUUAAUUGAAAAUAGCUUAAUAAUUACAAAACAUGUUUUUUAAUAGAUGAGAAAAUAUAAUCAAGCAAAAAGUUUUUAAAAAUCACCCAUAAUCAUAUUAUCCGGAGAUAACCAUCACAUCAGCUGGGUUAAUGUCCUUCCAGGUCUGUUGCUAUUCAUGUAUUUCAUUUUACAGGGAUUUAUUUCUAUAACAGGUUAUUCUCUUCCUAGCUUUCUUUCUUCUUUAGUAUGCUUAAUUACUUUUUUAAACAUCAUCAUGAUUGUUCAAAGUUAGAGCGAUAACUGAUGCUUAUAAUCCUAUCAUUCAAAUCUAAGGUUGCUAUGAAGACUUCAUUCUGGAGGUCCGGGAGAGGCAGCCAAGAAGUUACUUUUAAUCUAAAGAGAGCUUCAGGACUCAGUGAAAUCAGUACCACAAUAGAGCAGGGGUACACAUGUUCAGAGAUUGUUCUGAAUCAUAUAUGGACUGACAUCUGCAGAAAUGGUCUUCAUAUUUCAUGCUUUAUUGGGUCUUUUGAAAGAAUGCUUCUGUGUCAAGAGUGGGUAUAAGCAUUGUUUGAUGAGGUGAUUUGAAAGAAAAUUAUGGUCAUGAGUUUAGCUUUUGUUACUAAAAAUACAUCAUUUGCAGCAACAUAGAUGGACUGAGAGAUUCUCAUACUUAGUGAAGUAAAUCAGAGAAAGACAAAGAUCAUAUGAGCUCAUUAGUAUGUGGGAUUUAACAAAAAAUCAUACAAAAGAACUUACAAAGCAGAAACAGACUCAAAGAUUUUGAAACCAAAUUUCUGGUUACCAAAAGGGAAAUGUGGGGUGGGAAGGAUAAAUUAGGGGGUUAGGAUUGACAUAUACACAUUACUAUAUAUACAAUAGAUGGGUAACAAGUACCUACUGUAUAGCACAGGGUAAUCUACUCAAUACAGUAUAAUAACCUAGAUGGGAAAAGAAUCUGAAAGAAACAGAUAGGUGUAUGUAUAACUGAUUCACUUUGCUGUAUAUCUGAAACAAAUACAACUUUCUAAGUCAACAUACUCCAAUAAAAUUGAUUUUUAAAAAAGAAAAUAUAUCAAAGAUCUUUAUUCAGAUAUAUCUCUCAUCACAUAGAAACUCACCAUUAGAAUUACUUCCUAGUUGUAGGACAUUCAAGGUCACUGUGAUGAUGCAAAUGUGUUAUCUUGGAGGGGAAGUACUACUCUCAUUAAAAAACAGCUGAAUUUGAAGGGGAAGUAGAACUUAGAAAAUAGCACAGUGCCUAGCAUAUAGUAGUUACAUGACAACUAAAUUUGUUACUUGAAUAUUGAAUGAAAAGGUACAGAGGUUUUGAUAUAAGGUGCUACAGAAAUGGCCCAGAAAGUAAGACAGAAGAACAUCAAAUACAAGUAAUGGCUCCUCAGCUGAUCUCAAUUUAUGGAGUGUUCAGUGUUCACAGCUUGUGGAAUGGUGACUAUCCUAAAUAAAAUAGGUGAGGAAAAAUGUGUUUUACCUUUUGCUACCCUAAAAAGACAUUUAGGCAAGAGAUUGAAUUCCCUAAUCCAAUUUGAGUUGAGUAUUAUUCCUGAGAUGACCAAAUAAGAACUAGGUAUCUUUAAGAGGAAGGAAAAGAAGAGAGAUUCAAUUUUCUAAAUGAGGCCGAAGUUACUGGCAGGUUUCAGUAAGGCAGUUCUCACCUAAAGGUAUGAGGCAGUUGUUAUUUCAUAGUUGAUCUCAUCUAUGGUUGGAGUUUCAGAUCAAGAGUUUGCUCAUCUUCUUCCAGUGCACUCUACAUAUAGAAAAAUUAUUCUAGAGCAAAUGCAGUGUAAUGCUGAGUGUGAUAGUAAAGUUCGAUUGCCUGGCUUGGGAGCUAGAAUCUAUGUGCGCUACCUGAUGAGCCUGUUACCACCCAGAGAAACAUGGAAGAGUAUAAGAUUAGGACAAGACAAGAAGUUGAGUAAAGUUUGGUAAAGAGGAAGGAAGUUUAGGUGCUGGUGGUGCAUUUUAGCUAGGCAUCAGGAAGGCAUCCUGAGUAGGGCUCUGUCCAAAAGGAGAAAAGUUAGGAAAGCUUGAAAGGAAGAAGUGGAAAGGCAUGAAAAGGGUAAGACUGCUUCUGCGUUCUUUUUCCCUGCCUGGUAGAGUAUUCUUAGGCCAUAAGCUGUAGGAGAGAUGGGAGUUUCCGGAUCCUAUAUUGGUUUGCUUUUACUUUCUCUUCUCACUCCUUGGGUUUUAUACUACCUUUUCUCUAUGUCCUUCAUUAUUGGCUAGAACAUUUUGUAAUAGCUUUGGAUGAUGAAAAUAAGCUUUGUUAAAAAAUGCCAGAAAGUCAAAACUCCAUUCAAAAUGUACUUUUCUGCCUCCAAGUUUUCUUUCUAUGAGUGGAUAUUUUAGUUAUGAAAAUUCAAAUUAUAGUAUGGAUAUCAGGGAAAACCCAAUAAAGGUAAACUAAUGCACUUUAUUUAAUGUAUGCUCAAAUUUAAUGUAGGCAUUUUUUAUUUUAGAAACAAACUUAAAAUAUGUGGCUCUUGUCUUUGGUGAGAGAGAAGUGGAAAAAAGAAUCUUUGCAUUCCAGGAAGCAGCCCAAUUUUAAUUAAAAAUGCCAGGCUAAUUUGUCUCCCUCCCAGAGCCUACCGAUAUUUUGCCUUUGGGCUGUUGUGUAGACUUGUCUGCCAUUUGUCUGAAUAUAAAUAACUCUCAUUUUCACACUUGUCUUUUCUUGCAGUUUGUCAAAAUGGUUGCUUUAUAGCAGCAAAUUAAUUUCCUAACGGGUGAGCAUAUAUAUAUAUAUAUAUAUAGAGAGAGAGAGAGAGAGAGCGUGCUCAAGCACACGGCUUAUCAACAGAAGACUACUUUAUCUGUUGCAUGAAAAUAAAACAUAGUUGUGUUAGGGGUCACAAAGACAACCCUCUGGUUGGAUGAUUUGCUAGAACGACUGAUAGAAUUUAGAAAAGCUGGACUUAUCAUUAUGGUUCAUUACAGUGAAAGGAUACAAAUUAAAAAUAGCAAAGGAAAAAGGCACAUAGGAGAAAGUCCAGGAGAAACUGGACACAGGCCUUCAGUGUCCAGUGAGUUGCACAGGUGGCAUUUAAUUCUCCUAUUAACAAUGUGUAAUGACACGUGAAAAGUGUUGCCAAACAAUAAGCUUAUUGGAGCCUUGGUGGAGGGUUUUAUGAGAGGUUAGUAACAUAGGCAUGGAGCUCCACAUGACUGCCCUUAGGUACUGAGUACUUAGGUACUCAGUCUCCUACACAGCCCUGACCCCUGCCUCCUGUCUAUGAUCAAACUGCCCAGUGUAACAAAAAGUAGUGUUCAAGUUAAAUCACAUCGUUAGCAUAUUCUAUCUGGUGUGGUCCAAGGCCUCGGGUAUACAGAAGUACUCUUAUUAGGCAGGAUGUUCCAAAGGUUUGUAAAUUAUUUCCCAGUAACCCAUUAAAGGUCAGUCCUGGAGAUCUUUGGAACAUGCAGCAUUUGGUUAGGCCAGGCCUGACGAGUUAAGUCUUUACUGUACAAGUAAAUACAGACAUUUUUCACACAAUUCUGAAUGCUGAAUUAUUUAUUUUGGUAUUUUAGAACCAAACUAAGUCCUCUGUGAUUUGGAUCCUAAGUGUAUAGUAGAGCACAUUUGGGAGAAUGUGCCCUAUUAGAAUAAGGAGCAUUUGAAGGGAGUUUCCGUUAUGGCUCAGUGGAAAUGAAUCUGCCUAGGAACCAUGAGGACGUAGGUUCGAUCCCUGGCCUCCCUCAGUGGCUUAAGGAUCUGGCAUUGCCAUGAACUGUGGUGUUGGUCAUGGAUGUUGCUCAAGAUUUGGCAUUGCUGUGGCUCUGGUGUAGGCUAUCGGCUACAAGUCCAAUUUGACUCCUAGCCUUGGGAACCUCCAUAUGCCAUGGGUGUGGCCCUAAAAAG